rnacentral:rRNA from 1 species
UACGUAGGGGGCAAGCGUUGUCCGGAAUCAUUGGGCGUAAAGGGCGCGUAGGUGGUUCUGUAUGUCUACCGUGAAAGCGUACGGCUCAACCGUAUUUUGUCGGUAGAAACUGCAGGACUUGAGGCUGGGAGGGGCUGGUGGAAUUCCCGGUGUAGCGGUGAAAUGCGCAGAUAUCGGGAGGAACACCCGUAGCGAAGGCGGCACUCUGGGCCGGAACUGACGCUGAGGAGCGAAAGCGUGGGGAGCAAACGGG